AAUCAACGCUGGCGGCGUGCCUAACACAUGCAAGUCGAACGAGAAAGUGGAGCAAUCCAUGAGUAAAGUGGCGCACGGGUGAGUAACACGUGACUAACCUACCUUUUAGUGGGGGAUAACCUAGGGAAACCUGGGCUAAUACCGCAUAAUACCUACGGGUCAAAGCAGCAAUGCGCUGAAAGAGGGGGUCGCGGCCGAUUAGCUAGUUGGCGGGGUAAUGGCCCACCAAGGCGAUGAUCGGUAUCCGGCCUGAGAGGGCGCACGGACACACUGGAACUGAAACACGGUCCAGACUCCUACGGGAGGCAGCAGUGGGGAAUUUUGCGCAAUGGGGGAAACCCUGACGCAGCAACGCCGCGUGGAGGAUGAAGUCCCUUGGGACGUAAACUCCUUUCGAUCGGGAAGAUAAUGACGGUACCGGAAGAAGAAGCCCCGGCUAACUUCGUGCCAGCAGCCGCGGUAAUACGAGGGGGGCAAGCGUUGUUCGGAAUAAUUGGGCGUAAGGGUGCGUAGGUGGUUCGGCAAGUCUUGGGUGAAAUCUUAGGCUCACUUGAGUCUG
rnacentral:rRNA from 1 species